rnacentral:rRNA from 1 species
GAUGAACGCUGGCGGCGUGCCUAAUACAUGCAAGUCGAGCGAACAAACGAGGAGCUUGCUCCUCUGACGUUAGCGGCGGACGGGUGAGUAACACGUGGAUAACCUACCUAUAAGGCUGGGAUAACUUCGGGAAACCGGAGCUAAUACCGGAUAAUAUAUUGAACCGCAUGGUUCAAUAGUGAAAGACGGUUUUGCUGUCACUUAUAGAUGGAUCCGCGCCGCAUUAGCUAGUUGGUAAGGUAACGGCUUACCAAGGCAACGAUGCGUAGCCGACCUGAGAGGGUGAUCGGCCACACUGGAACUGAGACACGGUCCAGACUCCUACGGGAGGCAGCAGUAGGGAAUCUUCCGCAAUGGGCGAAAGCCUGACGGAGCAACGCCGCGUGAGUGAUGAAGGUCUUCGGAUCGUAAAACUCUGUUAUUAGGGAAGAACAAAUGUGUAAGUAACUAUGCACGUCUUGACGGUACCUAAUCAGAAAGCCACGGCUAACUACGUG